CCUUAUGUCAAUCAAAUUUGACUUAACAUAAAAGUCCAACACGAAAAAAUAUGCAUUCAAUAAAUAAUACUGAAACCUAGAUUAAAACUAAGAUAAUUUACAAAAUGUAAUAAAAAACUAGAGAGAGGAUUAUCAGACUUACAGACAAGGACUAUAGCUAGUAUCAAAAUGGAUCCAGAUGAAGGCGUGGAUGAUGUGAUAGAUCUGACAGAUACAUCUGAUUCAGACUCCUACCACGACAGAGUAUUUGAAGCUCAUACACCAUUAGUGCUUGAACUGCACGAUAUAAGAAAAGACGAUCCAUUGCCUACUGAUACUACCCCACCACCAGUACCACCACCACCGGCUGGAAAGAUAAAGAAGCAAAAGAGGAAAAAGAAAGAGACACAACAUAGAAACGCUAGUUACUCUAGUCUGUCUAGUGAGAACUUGUCGGAUGCUAGCUCCGUGGCGCCACCUCCCGAGACGAAGGAGAAGUUCUAUGAUGCCCGUGAAAGUUAUCAUGGUAUAGCACCAAAUCAAGCACCAACAGUAACAGCAGCAGCUGCAGUACCACAAACGCAUUCCGUCACUCACUCCGUAACGCAUUCCAUUGAAGCUGCCCAGGACCCGAAGACUGCACAACCGGCAUCAUCUCUACAGCAAACCACUACUACUGCUCCCACUGAAGAAAGAACAGAACCAUCUCCUAUUAGUAAACCAAACUUACCGCAGGAAUGAGUCGUUUUUGCGCUGGUUACACGUCAAAAACAUUAUAUUACAAUUUUAAGUCUUUGACUGCCAAUAGAAAACUGAUGAAGAAACUUCUCCAACUUAUAAUGUGAUUAUGCCAAGUCAUUGUAUAAGAAGUCACCGUUUAUUACAAUGAUACCUUCUUCUAAAUAACAUAAUAAACAUCAUAUUCCACA